UCUCACAAAUUAUUGGUGGAGAAAUGUCAGAGCCUUUCAGUGCAAACUCAUAAAAAUUCAUACAGACAGGCUUGGGCAAUUAUAACACAGAUGUUUUCAAUGCUUUACUUAAGCACAAGAAUAUUUGAGAUAUGUCAGUAGAGUGAAAUGCUGUCACAGGAUAAUGGUCUCCUGCUGCUACCCAUUAUAAGUGCUCAGACAUUAUUUGUAAAAAGGACAUUGAUCCCAUUGAAGAAAUUCUAUUGCAGUGACUUUAUUUGUGUUAUCUGCAAUGGCGGGUGUGAAUUAAUCAUUUUUGUGGAUGCUAGUGCAAGAGAGCAGCAAUUGAUUAUUGGGUUUGAUUGGGGCCCUGUUCUUCAAGCAGGAUUCCCUGUGAAUCCAGGGGAAGUGUUAUGGGGAAACAGUUGCUGAAUCGAGUUCUUUGCCUUUUAAGGGAUUUUUGCAUUCUUUUCUGCUUAGAGAAUUCACCCCAAUCAAUCAUAGACCAAAGGAAGAAUUUUAAUGUAAUUUCUGACUAAAUUUUAGAUGUUGUUUUUAGUGAAUAGAGGUUAUGCAGGAAAUAAUCUGUAAUCUGAUUGGCUAGCAAAUGCAACAUUGAGACUAACUGGACAAGUCUAUAACUAGACACGUCUACUGCUAAAACCAGAUUGGAGCACUGAUGGUCAAAUACUGUAAUUUGAUUAAAACUUCAGUCUUCAUACAGCCAUUAAUUCACAUAUCUAUUAAAAUUACGAUACACUGCAUUUUAUAAAAAUAUAACAAAAACUGAGAUGGAAAAAACCUACCAUGCCCCUGCCAACACAGGAUUUUUCUUCUGAUCGUAUUUUAAAUGUGUUGCUCAGUUCAUCCAUUCUAAAUGACUUGAUACAGAUGUGAGUAAUUUUUUCCUUAGAAAAGUGCAUAAUUUUCAAUAGCAUAGAUUAUAUUUCUAUAUGAAAUGCCUGCUGAAAAGCUAAGCAAGAAAUGGAUACAUUCUUUUGGAAACAAAAGACAAUGUAAUUAUAAGGCUAGAAAAUUGCCAUUGAAUAAUUAAAAUGUCUUGUAUUUACACUUACAGAAGUGAUUAUAAUGGGUAAAAUAUAAUAUUAAAUUCAGAUUACCUAAAUUUAUUUCAGUUACCAAUAUAACUGUCCUUCAUAUUACCUAUUUUGGGCUCUCUCCAACAUCUGUCGGAAGAAACUAGACUAGAUAGAUCAUACAGAAACUGUGGGUUUAAUUAUAAAUCCCCAAUAACUUUUUCGAUGGGCCCCAAGACAACUUUAGUUCCAACUUCUCCAACUUUUCCUUAUGCUGGGAAGCCAGCCAUCCAUGUUGUUACUACGAAACAUGACCCUGUGUUAUGUUCCCUCACUCAGGUCUUUGAGUCAAUAAUCCCAGCAGUGCUCAACUUUUUAGAAGUCCUGUCCUCUUCUUUCAACAAGUUUUAUUCUAGAGUUGGUGCCAAAAGUUCAAAUAGGUUAUAAAUCAUGUUUAAUUUGUAAAGAAAGAGGUGCUAGGCUCAAGCAAUAACAACAAUACCAUUCCUAGAACAAAAUGGAGCCUUCCACAUCACGCGACCUUGCACAUACCAUGUGGAAGAUGCUGGAAGAUGCCAUUCUGUAGAACAAAAUGGCAUCAUCCACACAGUAUAACCUCUCCUGCACGGUACCUACAUGGUCGCACUGCAUGGAGGAUGCCAUUUUGUUCUACAAAAUGGAAUCCACACCGUGUGACCUUGCAUGCAAGUGUAAAAUUGCCUGCUUUACUAAAAAUAGCAUGCCAGGCCACUGACAGAAGACAUACCAGGGCUGUGCCCUGGCAUGCAAAGAAGUGCUGAGGCUAAGCCCCAGUGCAAAUUAAGCUCUGCUUAUAAAGGUGCUGGAGUUAUAAUAGUUAAUGCUCAGAGAGUUUUGGAAGGGAUAUAAAACCUUAUGCUUCAGGGUUUAAAACACAGUCUUCAACUAUUAGGAUUUAGGAUGAGACCUUCAUGGUGGAUAGAUGUUUUUUUGCCUUUCUCUGAAGUAUCCUCUUGGUCACUAUUGGAGACAGGAUACUGGACUAGUUGGACCUUAGGUCUGAUCCAGUCUGAUUCCUAUGUUCAAAAGCAGAAGACCACAUUCUUUUCCCACCAAAAUCAAGUUAGAGAUGAAGUGUUAAUUACUUUACGCGCAAGGCUAGUAAAAGAUCUUCUAAAAUUACUGAAGUUGAAAACACAAGUUCAUAUACCCAGCUAAUAACUUCCACAGAGGCAUAUUGAUAUACAUCAGUUAAGGAUAUGGUCAUCUGUUACUGAGAUUUAGGAGGCUGACCCGAUCAUAAAAACCAUUUUCAUCAGAGGAUAUGCAGUUCCUUUCUGAGAAUGUUUACUUACAAUAGGAUUGUUUUAAAAAAAAUAAGAUAAAUACACACUUCAUGUUUAUUUUUCUACCUCAUGCACUUCUUUUCAGAUGCCAAGUCCAAAAAGGUGUUCUGAUUGAAACAUAACCUUUAAAUGAUUAUGAUGGCAUGUUUACAAUUGGCUGGUACAGGCCAUUUUCAAAAUUCUCUUUCUGACAUGACACUUUACUCUAUCUCUACCCCAAACUUUUUAUAUAAAGUAUUAUAUUUUGUAGCUGCUCUUUUUAGCAAGAGUCUCCUCCAUCUUGAAUUCAGGUAGGCUUAUAUCUUUGAGAGACUUUCAUUUUAUAGGUGAGUUUCAACAGUUUUGCAGCAUUGGCUAAGUGUAAUUUACUUUUUAAAUAGGGAACUUCAGGAGAGCAUUUCUGUACUACUAUCUUCAAAUGAAUCCAGGUAUUCCAGUAAUUAUGUUCUCCAGUAAAAAUAUGAAAUAAACCUGUUACAGACUUCUUUCCUCAGUGCCUAUAUACUGCGUCCUUUCAGUAUUCGCCCAUAUAACACAGUCUGGAAUGCAAAAGGAUGUCCAAGGUUGCACUCCUGUGGUCUACUCUCCAUGGCUUGUCUUCAAAGGAGAAAAUGAUUUCACCCUGCUCAGGGGAUCUGUGAUUCAAGCACUCUUCUGCUUGCUCAGUGAAAGGGACCACAUCAACUCAAUCUGCAAUGGAUUGAUAAUCUCUUAGAUAACAUGCAUCUCUAGGAGGACAUCUUUAAAUAUGAUGAGCCUUGGAAGGCUUAGAUUGUUGUUGUUUUUGGUAAAUGUAAAUUUCACCCUACACACAUGAACAAAUACAAUAUUUUCAUUGAGAAUCAUCAAAAUUUAAGCUAAGCAAGGUAAGAAAAAUGCUGCUUGAGAAUGUUUGAUUUAAGAAUAUUUACUUGGUACAUUUUGACACGUGAUAUUGACAAUAUAUGUUUUAAUAGUUAUAAAGCAUUAACUUUUUGUAUAUUGACAUCAUGGUCAUUAAAUAAUUAUCUGAUCCACCCCUAUAAUUUCUAGCAACUGUGAAAAUUUAAAUAGAUAAAAAUUGAAAACAAAAUGCUUAAAAAUAAACAUUAAUAUUAUCUAUUGAAAUUAUUAAAAAAAUUAAUUCUGCCAAGCCUAAAUGUGUUGCACUCGAAGCUUGUAUUAUCUACUAACUCAAUUUAUAAAGUAAAAAUUAUAUAGCAUAGAAAAGAUGUAACUUAGUAAGAAUCUACAAAAGCCACACCAUGAAAAGCCUUUCUUGCUGUUAGAAAGGCUUGCUACAGAGACAGAUAAAAGACAAAAGUUAAUGCAAAUUAUAAAAUUACUUUCAGAACAUGGGCAGUCUUCUUUCUUAAGUGUUAGCAGGCCUGUUUGCCCAGAGGAGACCAACAUUAACCUCACAGCCUCAGCUGUGAGUCUCUCUUCUCACUCCAGCAGCUGAGAAAGGUAGUCUUCACCCUACCCGGAUAUCCCAAAGUCAACCCCAAAUAGAUCAUCCUUUUAAUACAUAAAAGUUUAAAUGACUAUUGGGGCAUUUCUAUACUUACAGCUGUGAUCGAUGCACCGGUGUUGAAUUAGCGGGUCUGGUGAAGACCUGCUAAGUCGAUGGCAGAGCGCUCUUGCAUCAACUUUUGUACUCCAGUAUCCCAAGAAGCGUAAGGUAAGUUGGCGGAAGAGCAUCUUCUGUCGACACAGUGCGGUUUAGACACCGCUAUAUGUCGACCUUAGAUAUGUCAAUGUCAGAUACGUAACUUACAUAACUGACGUAGUGUAACUUAGGUUGACUUACAGCUGUAGUGUAGAUCAGCCCUCUGUAACUGACUUAAACAUACCACAACAGCAGACCAUCACACAGGCGUGCCUAGUCAAAAAAGAUUGUUUUAUUUGCAGUUUAUACCAUCAGUGCUGGCACCAUCGAUUCAAGUUCAAAAAAUAUUUACUACAAUGUAGAAAUGAAAUGGCAGCACAAUGAUAAAUCUCCAAGCUGGUUUAGUCAGAACAUCUUUUGCUAUAGCUAUGACAAACAGUAGCUUAAAAAUUAGAAUUAGUUUUAAAUUAGAAUUAGUUACAAAUGAUAGAUUUUUCCUAGUGCCAGGCUAUAGCAUUUGCCAUAUUUCAUUUACUAUAUCAUUUUUCCUGUAAACAACUCAGAAAACCUAGACUCAGUUUAAAAAAAGGAGGUUGAUCUAAUACUGAACUGUUCCCAGGGGUCCAAAUUCAUCUCUAAUAGAACAGAAUAGGUUUGACUGACUUGUGUAACUCCCAUUAGGGUCACUGGAGUUUCAUCAUGGCUGGAUUUAGACCAGUAAGUUAGCUCUUCUCUGAAUUGCAGUAUAUUACAAUUAUAAUAACAUAAACUCCAACAGCAAGUGCCAAAAUCAUGUUGUAUUUUUUUAAUUAAUUUGCACAUCUAUAAUGUCUUUCAUUUGAGAAUUUCAGAGAAGGCAUUUUGAAAACAAUCCAUGUCUAGCAAAGUUUUACUGAUAUGAACUUAAGCAAGCACGUUCAUCUUAAAAGCUGUUUAGCCUGCACUUACCUUUCUAGAUUUCUUUUAGGUAAGUAUGGCUUUAUAUCCCCCUUCAGGAAGCAUUUGUCCGACCACAUAUAUAAGCAUUAAUUUUAGAUACAGGAAGAGGGAUUUCCCUUUUUGAUUAUGUAAGUUACUGUAACUGACGGAGAGAGUACUUAUUCAAAAGAGUAUUUAUUAUUAUUAAAUGGACAGGAGAAAUUGAGUGAUCUGUUGGGUUAAUAAGAAUUCUGAGCAAUGGCUUCAUUAUAGUAUAAUUCACUGCUCAGAACAUGCAAGCCUCAUAACUUAAUUAAUAAUAUAAUAUAUAUUUAAACAACAUUUUAGGAUUAUUAAAUAUAUUAUCACAAUAAGACUUUUCAGUGUAUGAAUUAUUUUAAAUUAAUUCACACCUAGUUGUGUAGAUGGCACUUACCCUUAGGCCCCAUGCUUAACAAUAUACUAGCAUGAAUUAAUGCACUGUAAUUCAUUUCUUUUUUGCUUAUGCGUACGGUUGAAGCAGGCUCCAUCAAUGCAAAAGAGCUAGAACAGAUUGUCUUUAUAGUUUAUUGGGAAAGAAUGGCUUCAGUUCAUUCCACUUGUCGCCAUGCUCCCAGUCCAUCACACCUGAUACCAUGUAGUGUUAUAUUUCCACCGUAGAGUGGUGUAAAGAACUGCCAUUGAAGUCAGUUGGAAAGGCACUCUAUUGCUAUCCUGAUAUUUUCAGUGGCUGACAGCACAACAUAUGGCUGAGGAAUAUAUCUUCAUAGAGUGAAACAAUGAAAAUGACCCACCAAAACAUGGAAGACUUGUUGAGGGAGGAUCCUAUUGGGAUGAUAUGAAUGUGCAGUAAGAUGCUGUAUUGCAUCAGUAUCCUGGUAAACACUACUGGGAAAUGUGGAGGCCCAAAUACAAGUAAAGAACAAGAUUUCCCUUCCAUUCUCAAUAAACAGAAAUGAAACUAAAGACAUCUGUUAUCAUUCAAGGCAAAUGCAUCUGUAUUCCUCCUCAGUGGUCCAGCAAGAGCAUCUACUCUCAGGCUUCUGGCUCCCCUGGCUGUCACCUCCCUCGGGUGGAGGCCUACGUCUCACUCCCCUCUGACCAGGGUAUCGCCAAGCCAAACAUCCCUUGCCUUCACUGAGUUAUUCCCAGCACACCUACUUGCUUUCUCUUCAGAGACCGUUAACAGGUAAAAUUCCUACAAGUACCACGCAGUUCUUUCAAUGCAUACCUAUUUUAUUCUUUAGGUAGUAAGCACCAUAGCAAACACAUUAUGAGCAAUAAAAGAACCUCCAUGCAGGCUAAUAAGCUUACCAGGGUUCACCCUUAUCUUAACAUGAGAGCAGUCCUUUAAAUCCCCACUCAAGGGGAUUCUAGUUCAUCAAACUUCAGCACAGAAUAAGCACCCAGUAUUAUGGAACCUCAGUAGCUGCAGUCCUUCCAACCCUACCCUAAAGAUUGGAAUCCUCCCUGGACAAGGAUCAGAUUGGUUUGCUGGAUCAGGAAGAAGACCCUGAGCUGGCUAUUUAUUCAAAAAAACCUUUCUUUGUCUCCCAUGGAGAAUCCAGUUUGAAGUAAUAUAUGCAUACUCUCCAGGAGUCCAAGGGUGGCUUCAAAAGGCUGAUAACAGAGGAAUUACAUUAGCAUCCCCUUCCGACUAGAGAUGGUAAAUACAAUGCCACAGUAACACAUACCCAAUGGCAUUUUCAAUACAAUAUACCCUACAGGUAUGAACCCUAAUUCAAUAAGCUUUAAAUUAAUUCAGUCAAGUUUAUCUUAAUCCCUAUAAGGUCUGUUCAGGCUACGGUCAGUCAGUCACAACAUCUACAGCUGGGAUCAAAGGAAAGGAGAUAGUGACUCACACAAUGGAGGAAUUGCUCAAAAAAAUAUGUGGGGCAAACUAUUAUCCCAGUUAUGUUGCUAUGAUCUGUAUCCUCUUUAUUUCAUUGCAAGGAUAUCAAUGCAAAUGUAAACCACGGAUGAGUGUGUUAUGGGUAAUCCGCUGGCAGGCCGCUGCGACCCACAGGCUGCAGGCUGCCCACACUGGUCUUGUCUCCUCAGCUCACGCAAAGCAGUUCAGGUUUUUCUCUUCGGUGGUCCCUGCUUUAAUUCCUGGUGUGUCAGCCAAGAUGGCAGCCACCCCACAAGCUCUAGCAUGUGCUGCAAUAUAAUGAUUCAUAGAUGUUUGGAGUUUAGUCUCACAUACUGGUAUUUAGGAAUUGGGGUUUCUGUCCUGCGGGAGCUCUAAAGCCCACUGAAUUCAUCAGAAAGAGCCCUGACUUUGGAGCAGCAUCCCCAUGACAUGCUGGCUGCGACCACGCAGAGGUGUAGGGAGUUAACAAAACAGAUCAAAGGUGUAAAAGAAAAGCUUGUGAUAGGUGUGGUAAUAAAUCUAAAUAAAUAAAGGAGGAUUGCUGGGGUAGCAGCUUUGCAGAGCUAUGCUGGAAGAAAGCCCUGAGUGUCUGCCAAAACAAGAGAACAGCUGUGAAAUGCCUCGGUGUGGGUACUCAGCUGCAAUCUGUUUUAACCCUGCGAAUAAUAAUAUAAGACAAUGUCCAGCCCCAGCUUAGUAAGUGGUAAAACACAUCAGUGGAUGCCACACAGACAUAAAAUAUGAGCCACCUUUUUCUCUUUUCUGCAGUAAUCCAUAUAAAGUCAGUGCUGAUGAUUCUUAUGUCCAUAUCAGAAACCAUAACACAAUGAGUACAGCACAGUAGUCUUGGCUUGAUAAAAUACUUCUUGACACACCAGAUCAGCACACCCUUUGCCACCUCAAUGCACUUGUGGACCCUGGCACAAAUAGCCAGUGAUUUGCUCAGUGAUUUAGAACGAGGACAGCUGAACGUUGUGAAACACAACCUGAAAAAAGUAGGGGCGUGGGAAGUUUGCAAAUUUUGCAGAACUCACAUUUUCCCAGCCUGCUGGCCUUUCCCUGAGAGUCCUACAUCAACCUAGAAGAGCAAGGUAGAAUUCUCUUAUCAAAUUUGUAGCUAUUUCAGUGAAGUGUCUGCUGCACAUAUUUAAAUAUUCAAGCCAAAAUUCUCAAAUAUGGAGCUUAAAGUUAGGCUCCUAAAUCCUAAUAUAUUUAGGCACCCAACUAUAAAUCACCUAAUUUUCAGAAGUUCCUCUGAUGGGAGCUGAAAGGGCUCAGCACCUUUCAAAAUUAGGCUUCUUUUAUUUAUCUAAAUAGGGGUUUAGGUCAGAGCUUAAUUUUGGAAUCUGGGAUUUUGAACAUUUUAUGCAUACUGUUUUGGUUUCAAUGCAUGCUUGCACCAAUUUAACAUGAGAGUACAAAAGCUGAUAAGCAUCAGUGCCUGGGCUCUGUGUGUAUGUACAUAGAAGUUCAAUAUUCCUGUUUACUGGUGAAAUAAUUGAUGCAGUCUGACCUGAGUGAGAUUCAGUAUGUGAUUUGAGAGACUCUAUGUUUAAUUUAAUAGGGCAUGUAUCUGUCUCAGAUGGGGAUUACAGUAUCUGCUUUGAAGUGAUCUAUAAUAUCAGGCUUAUUAUGUAGUUUUUAUUUUGAACAGAGCAUGGAUUUAACAGUUAACAGUCCCACUUAAAUAUGAAAUACAUCAAAUUUACUACAUGGGCUGGCCCACUGGCUGUACUAAACACAUGAGUUUACAAGCAACCUUGGGAUUCCCACUCUUCGGGUAGUUAGGGGCAUUGUGACAGCAGCAGGCUAAAGUUGUAAAGUGAUCAUGAUCUUUCAGCAAUCUUGAUGAUCUGGGAAGCAGCAGUGUUGCUGGGGUUAUAAAGUUGGUUGGAGGAAGAGCUGAUCACUGCACUGGGAGAAGUUGAAGAGCAAAGCGGAAGAGCACCAUAGAACCAAGAGCAAACAAUAGUCAAUGCUUGAACGCUGUGAAAAAAUGCAUUGCACGCUCUACUUUACAUUUGGAAAAAAACUUCUAAUAAUGUCAGCUAGCAGGGCCAGGAGGACUACAAGGAGAAAAAUCAAGCAAGCAAUAAACCAAAUAAUGAAAGCAUAGGAUUUUGAGAAGGAUGGAGGAAAAAGGAUGGCACAGCAAGUAUGUAGGCUGCAGAGAGGAUUUUGGUUUGAUUACAAAAUUAUAAACAAAAAAUUUCUCUAAGUUUAAAUGAUUUGGAUCCAUCAAGUUGUGCAAAAACAAAUUAUGUAACAGCAUGAUCAUCUUAUCGUUGCCCUUAUCUUCUAUUUGCUCCUGUUAAAUUCACCUGUUGCAGCUGUCUUCUGUUUAAUGGAAUCAGGGACCUAUGUGCUUAUGGAAAUCACAAUUGCAAAAAAAAAAAAAAAAAAAAAGAGGGGGGAGAGGGAAUGUCCCCAGUAACUGGAAAGGUGACUAUACUAACAUCAAUUUGACUUGGUCAUUGAGAUUAAUUGGGGAUUUUUUUAAAUAAAACUCAUUUAUAUCUAGCUGUAAAAUCAAUAUCUCGUGGCCAGAAAUACAGCAAUAAAAAUUACAAUAAAUCCAUCUUCCAGUGCAGUUCUGUUUUUAAAAUUUAUGCUGUAACAUUGCUUUCAGUCAUUGCCUCAGUGACUCCAAAUCAAACUUGCUCAAUUUACAUGGAAAAGGUGUUCUAACUGCCAGCCAGGGAAACCCAACCUGAACUCUGGCAGUCAAACGGGGUUAUUUCCUUCUCAUACUCCUUACCCAUGAUAAAGAUCUUGCAAGCCAAAUUAUGCCCUCAGUUACAUGGAAAGCUUGUGUGGUUGCAGAGGCAGUGGAGGAUAUAAUAUGAAGAUAGAUGUAACUGAAGGCAUAAUUUGGGUUUCAGAUCAUUAUUACUGAUUAAGGUGCACAAGGAAGGAACCUCGCUGGAUUGUUAGAGCCCAGGCUGAGUUUGCAAAGCUGGAAGUGAGAAAAAAAAAACAUCUUUUUAUUUUUGAGUACUAUGCACGUCUGAUCUGCAGUCACUGAGACACAAUAAAUGUGGACCCCCACAAUGCUAUUUUCACAGCAUUGCUUCUCAGAGCAGACACGCACUUUGAUAGCAGAGAUAACUUCAAUCCAGUUUGUUCUUUCUUUCUCAAUACAUAAACCUCUGUCCUGACAGCUAAAGCCCUGUCCUGAUCCCUGCUUUCUCUGCACUUUUAGGCAGCAAAUUGGUUAUUUCCAAAGGUAAGGUUAGUGGCAUGAUGAGGCUGCUAAGCAGGAAAUGUCCAGGAAAGUUUAAUUGGCUCCCCACAGGUCCUGGACUCCUAAUACUGCUUUUGUAAUACAUUGCUUUUGUAGUAGAUAACCCCAGACCUCUCUUGUAAUCACACAGAUUGCAUUAGAACAUUAAAUCAGGCAUAAUUGAACUGUCCCAUUUAGAUAUAAUUUUAAGGUAAAAAUAAAAAAACCGCCUGAGAUAGUAGUGUAUUACAUGUAGUAAGAAAUUUAUUGCGGUUCCAAAAAUACCUUCACUAACAGUAUACAUUUUAUGGAGUCAUUUUUUUCAGGCUAUAAAAAGGACUAACUAGUGUGUUUUAAGCACUCCUCUUCUGACACAAAGGGUUUGCUUUUACUAACGGUAAUUUGAUCUAAAGUCAUGUGCAAGAAAGAGUUUAGAAAAGGCUCUGCUCUUUGUCGGUGUCAUUAUCAACUUUAAAUUACACUUGUUCCUGAAUUAGCAUCAACAUGACUUCAUUGGUGUGGCUAUUUGGACACAUAUAAGCAGCCCCACAGCUGAUUCUCCAAACGAUGGGUUCAGAAUUCAACUGGAAUAUAUUGCGCUGAGAUUAAUAAAAGGUCUUCAGUCCCUUCUUGGAAAGCAUGAUUAUUUAUUGUCGAACACAUCCAUUGCCAGAGCUUUGCUGCAAAGGAGGGACUGUGAGGAAAGGCUGAAAUAGUAGCUAUAUUGCCUCUUCCCUGGAAAUAUAUGUGCCUGGUGUAUACUCAGAGAAGUUGUUAAAAAGAGAACAUACUAAAGUUGGGAAAAGGAUUAGGUGCAAGGAAACUACCAAUGGCCCUGCACACUCCCUGCUCUCAAUGCCUCUUUACCACCCUUGCCUGAGGCACAUAUGUGGGUAUAUACAGGACAGAGGAAGGUGCAGAAAUAUAUACAGGAUGCAGAACCAUUCCACAUCAGUGGUAUGUCCUUGUACAGCAUCCAUUGUGUGCCAAACCCCUUUCUCCUCCUCUUUCAUAUCAUUCGGGCUGAUGCAGAAUCUGCCCCCCAGUAUAGAAAAAAGCUUGCAAACCUAUGGGUUUUUUUUCAAAAGCUUCACACUGUGCAGUAGCUCGACUCCAUGCCCAGCUGCGUCCCAAGAGGAGAAUAUGUACUGUACAUAUUGAGGAGUUUUCACUCUAGAUGCAGUAAGAAAUAUAAAUGCUAUUGGCCUAUUUGUUCCCCAACAAGUAAUACACACAACUGUCCCAUGGCUUCGGACAAUCUUUUGCUAAGGUUAACUUAGGUAAAGGUUAUGUUUAACAUAAAAAAAAUUCUGGGACUUUGGUCUUCAUUUCUCAUGCCAGCUCUUUUUGGUAUAUCUUGGGUGUACUUGAAAUCUCGUGAAGUUAAAUAGGUUCAGAAUUUACUCAAAGAUGUUCUUCCAUCUGUAUUUUAUAGUGUGAGAUUUCUAAAUGAAUACGUUUCAUAUUUAUGGUAGAGAGAACUUUAAUAACCUCGUGGUGUUAUCAUUUACUUCAGCUUGACAUAAAUCAGGAGCCAACUGAAGGGGAGGACAGGAUUUUCUAUGUUUAACAAGGUUGCCUCAUAUUGCUACACAUUUUCCAUGACAUCUGCUUUAAAAACAUCCUGGCAGCUUCAUUAAACUGUCUUUAAUAGGCAACAACUUUAUAUAAUUUUAAUUUUCCCCUUUCAGUCUCAAGUAAUCAGGGUUCUGUCUGGAGGGAUGAUCUCUUUUGAAAAAAAUAAAAUGGCAUGAGUAAGUGGUCAGGAGGAUUUAAAACCGGUGUUCAGGUUCAUCCACUGAGAAAUUAAGUAAAUCAAGUUUGGGUUAAAAAGGAAAGCAAAUUACUCUUGGUUCUUUACACACUGGAUCAGAAGGGACUUGAUAUCUUUAAUUGCCAUGCAGGUUUUUGCCCUUCUAAACAGGAAAGAGGCUUUUUACCACAACCACCUAGGUAGGUGACAAUGAGAUUACCAGGCGGGCUAGAACUUUUGCAACAGCUCCCUAAAUACAUUGAAACAUAGAGGAAACCUGGUAAUAAUGAUAUGUACUUGUACAAACACAUUAACGUCCAGCUGGCCAAUAUCAAUCAAAAUUGGCCAGUUGGAAGUUUCAAUCAUUGGAGAAGGGGGAGGGGAGCGUGAAGAGCAGGGCACGGAGAAGAGGAAAGUGAGAAAGCUUUCUGGACUGCAAAAUGAGUGGUGGUUGCUGGAUGGUAUUGUGCCUACUUUACUUUACUUUAUUUCACUUCUCUGGUGCUAGGUUACAGCAAUUGCAGGAUUCCUCCCCACUUCAGUAAUGUACAUCUGAGUGUGACAAGCUUCAGGAAAACAGAAUGUUGUUCGAACAUUACAUGCAUCAGAGAUGGGCCAAACAGAUUUGACUCUCUGAAGUUCCCAACGUGCCUAUGAUUGUGAUCCCAUAAGCAGACUGAGAAUUUUGGCUUGCUGAUGUGAAAUAGCCUCAUUGUUAGCUCUUAGGACUAAAUCAGACUUGUGCUACUUGAGUUACUCCCAUUGACUUCAGAAUGCUGUGAAGAGACAUCUUGUCCAAAGAUGUGAGAUCAGCAAUGGAAGUGUGAAGAAUACUUGGUUGUUCCUGUUCUGGUUGCCCCUGUACCUGAUGGGAGCUUGCUUUGCAGAGACAUUUAGAGAUAAAAAAUUCCAAGUCUGAUUUGCUCUCAGUACACUGGUUUUACACAGGUGUUACUGCAGCUAUUCCUGAUCGACACCAGUAAACGUGAAUUCAGUAUACGUGCCAGGAAUCAGAAGCACUGACAUUAUAUUUUUAAGUGUACGCUCCUUACAUUGAAAUGGCCCCCAUGCACAGCCCACUUCAGAAUAAUUGAUGCUGUUAGUGGGAGCAGUUUCUGUGAAAGUUUGUGCCUGACUUUGAUAGCCAGAGCACAUGUAUAUCCUAACACUGAUCUCACAAAGUUUAUGUGCAUCCCAAUUAUGUGCAAGGGAAGUUUCACCCCAUGAUUUUAAAUUGCAUUUAUUAUCCUUUUUAAAAAAAAUUUGAAGGAUUAAAUAAAUUUAUCACUGAACUGCUCAGUAAUUUGCUAUGUGCUUCUGAGGGCAGAAACAAAAGCAAUUUAAGGUCAGCUUAGAAAUGUAAGUGUGGCACAUUUUGCUUCUGUUUGAUUGACAUUGCAAUUCCAAGCAUGCUGAUUUUUUUUAAGAAAGUAUUUAGGCCCAAAUGAACACAUACUCUGUGGCUUCAGGCACUUAAAACCCAAUUGCAUUUGGGUUUAGGCUGUGCAUGUCUGUGAAGAGCCAUGACCUGGAGUGAAACUUCAUAAUAGAACACUUGCACCCCAAUUCUUUCUUCUCUCUGCAAAUGAGUGUUGCAAUAUGUCAUCAGGGGAAUCAAGGAGAGCAAUACAUGCAUCUAAACAAGUAUUCCCCACUUUCUAGCCAGAGUCCCACAUGCCUGCCUCAAUUCUGUUCCUGGAUUGAACAAUUAGUUUGUGUGAACUCCUGAGAAACUGGAAUAUGAAUGCAAUUUGAAAUGGCAAAACAGAAUUCAUAUGCAGCCAUUUGGGGACAAAAGGAAGCAAACAAUGUGGUGCUUUUAUUUAUAAAGUUCCUAUACAUUUUGUCCCAUCUGUAUUGCUUGCAUAGAGCAUAUAAAUAUUUUAAUGCAGUAAGUAAUGCAGGUGAAACACAAAUUGAUCGGAUUUGGUGUUACAAAGAAAGCACCUUAUUUUAACUGGAAACAAAUAUCCAUCUCUGGGAUUUCAAGAGAAUGGGAUUGUGUUCUCAGAAAAAUCAAUGAAAUAUUCAAGCAGAAAAAUGUAAUUGUGCCUCUCUUUGAUUUUGAGUCUGAUAGUGAUUGCAAAUACAUUUCAGGAGUUCUUAAAACACAUAUAAUUUCUGAUUCACUGCCAAAAAGAAGAAACUUGUCACAUUAUUGCUAAGUACAAAGAACAGAAGAAAGUAGAUACUAAUUUAUUCAAUAUGUUGUUGUACAACAAUGUUGUAAAAUAAGAAGUUUGGGGAAGAAGGGGGAGCUGCAAAUACAAAGCGUGGAAGCAUACCCAGGGCAAUACUAGUUUGCAGAAGGCCAAAGGGAUGAUGAACUGAACAGAAAGAGCAAUGGGGAGUUGGAUAUUGGGGAACAGAAGUUCACAAACUGGAAGAAAAAAAAUCAAAAGUUGAUUAAAUUAAUCCUAAAGUGAAACCAUGAAGGCAGUGGAGGAAAGUCUUGAGGAAAAGAUUGGGGCAGGGCAAGAGGGAAAUGAGGAUUGGAAAAAAGCAACAGGUUCUAGCACGUUGCAUAUACACAAAAAGAUUUGUGAGGGGGACAGUCCCAAAAGGGAAAAAAGCGGGGGAGGUCUAUAAAAGAGUCACAAACCCUGAAAGAAUCAAAAAGGAACACAAAAGGAAUAAAAAGGAACAAAAAGGAAAAAAUUCAUCUCUAUUAAAAAUACAGAGAUAGAUCUUCAUGUUUCAAAUUCUCUCUGCCUGCAUAAAAUAGACACAGGGCCUGAUUUCCCUGGCUGUUCUGGAGACAGAAGCUUCCCAGGAGUGGGGGAACAGAGCAAGCUCGUGCAGUCCAGUAGUAGUGGGGCCAACUGGUUGGGAGAGAUGCUGCUUAAUGAGCACAUUCUGCCCAUGUAGUAUCCUCCAAUCCUGCUCAUGUGGAGUCCUUAAUCUGAAUUUAAAACUGCAGACGAGGUAGAAUCCUCAGAUGAGGUCAUCCUGGUAGAAAGUUAUCCCCUGCCCCACUGCCCUCCCCGAGGGGCGAAUCACCCCUGAAGUUCAGCAACUCCAUAGGUACAAAUCAUGUUUAUGUUCACAUGCAAUUUUCACCUUCUAUGCUUGUGGCAGAGAACCCAUGGGUGUGCAUGCAUGCAUGCACAUAUAUAUAGUUGUUAGUAGUGCCCUGUGGUAAAAGUUUAGGGUAGAGACCCUUGUUGAGCUACCUAGCUGAUCAAAUUUCUUUGCUUUGAUGUACAGCAACUGCUAUGUCUUAGAUAAUGCUAAUGGCACUUUUUGAAGAAUAAUGCUGUUUUCCUACUUUUCUCCCCAUACGCACCGCACAACACACAGGACUGAACAAGAUAGGACUUCUGCAAUGGUUUUGAAAAACAAGAUUGAUUAUGCUGAAGUCAAUGGUGGAUUGUCAUGAGUUGAUUAAAAAGAUCAAUUCAUUUAGUUUAAUCCACUUCCACACUGGCCUCCCCCCAAAAAACCCUUUACAUUUUAAUGUGUCAAAUAUUUGAAAGAACAAUAAGUGCCCAGAUGUGCAAAACUGAACAGUGGCAGACACCAAGCAUGAAUGUGGACCAACAUAAUUUAAUUUAGAGCAAAGAGAAAAUGCAGUAAUACAGUUGAGCUAUGUGGAGAAUGGCUUUGAUUAAAAAAAGGGAAGAGGUAUUUUUGUGGGUGCGGCACUGGUUUUCUAGGAGCUACAUGCUACCUUAGACCUUUAAUUUGACCUAUUUUUGGUCUCAUUUGUAACUGACAAAAGCAUGAGUGAAAUUUAUCUUGUAACUCUCUAAAGGGCAGGAGAGGAAUUGGAACUAUUAAAUGUUAGGAUGUAGGCGGUUGGAGAUGCAGUAACCAAAUCAUUAUAAUUUUUGAAUUAUUUUGGAUUCCCCAAAUUUACGUCUGAAGAAAAGGGUGGCAGAUAUGACUCUGUAUGUUAGCGACACUUCAGAUGCAAUUGAGAGCAGUCGAGGAUACUGGUUGUUAACAUAUUUUGAAUUGAGAAUCCAUUGACUCGGCAAAAGAGAGAGAGAGAGAGAGAGAGAGAGAGAGACGUGUUUGCUCUGUAGAGUUGCUUCUCCACAGAGCGUCAACCCAGAAAAAAAUGAUAGGACAUAAAAGCUUCAUAAUUUAAAGAUGAAUUUGGAAAUAGACCAUAAAAUUCAGGACAGGAUCAUAAAAACAACAGAUUCUAGCUCAUUUCAUUGCUCAGAGUGUCCGAGAAAGAAUGACAUGGCCACUAGGCGCAGAUUUGAAAAUAUAAUCUACCAGUAAAAUUAGCAAGUGUUAUGUUUCUUUUAUUUUAGGCUUUUUUCCCUAGCGAAGUCCCGUUGGCCUCAAUUCAGCAGGGUACUCAAGCAUUUGUCUACAUUUAAAAUUAAGCACAUGCUGACAUAUAUUACUGAAUCUGUACCCUGGAGAAGAACCAUAGCUCAUCUGAGUCCUGAUUUAAGCCCAUUAAAGUCAAUGGGAGGCUGGUAUGAUUGGGCAAAAUUCUACUCUGUUAUACUGGUGUAAAUGAAGAGUAAUUAAAGUGAACUUACACCCCUGUAACUGAGAUGAGAUUUUUUCCUCCUAAUCAUUCUGUCAAAUGUGUCGCUUCAACCAGCUUAUAUAGAAAUAGAUAUCUGAUUGAUUGUUUUAUUUUAAACUGAGUAUAGUAGAUGUCAACACCACUAGAAUUAUGUGACUAAACCUUGAUGACCCUGCAUUAUUUACAUGUCUCAGAGGCUUACCCAACUGACUUAUACUUGUAAAGAUAACUUCUACAAAAUGACAUUUUAACUUUGUCUUGUAAAUAAAAUAUUUUUAACAC